rnacentral:rRNA from 1 species
AACGAACGCUGGCGGCAUGCCUAACACAUGCAAGUCGAACGAGACCUUCGGGUCUAGUGGCGCACGGGUGCGUAACGCGUGGGAACCUGCCCUUAGGUUCGGAAUAACUCCCCGAAAGGGGUGCUAAUACCGGAUAAUGUCUUCGGACCAAAGAUUUAUCGCCUUUGGAUGGGCCCGCGUUGGAUUAGCUAGUUGGUAGGGUAAAAGCCUACCAAGGCGACGAUCCAUAGCUGGUCUGAGAGGAUGAUCAGCCACACUGGGACUGAGACACGGCCCAGACUCCUACGGGAGGCAGAAGGGGGGAAAAUGGGAAAAGGGGCAAAGGCCUGACCAAGAAAGGCGGGGGGAGGGAGAAGGGCUUAGGGUUGUAAAGCUCUUUUACCCGGGAUGAUAAUGACAGUACCGGGAGAAUAAGCGCCGGCUAACUCCGUG